AUUGAACGCUGGCGGCAUGCCUUACACAUGCAAGUCGAACGGUAACAGGUCUUCGGAUGCUGACGAGUGGCGAACGGGUGAGUAAUACAUCGGAACGUGCCCGAUCGUGGGGGAUAACGAAGCGAAAGCUUUGCUAAUACCGCAUAAGAUCUACGGAUGAAAGCAGGGGACCGCAAGGCCUUGCGCGAACGGAGCGGCCGAUGGCAGAUUCGGUAGUUGGUGGGAUAAAAGCUUACCAAGCCGACGAUCUGUAGCUGGUCUGAGAGGACGACCAGCCACACUGGGACUGCGACACGGCCCAGACUCCUACGGGAGGCAGCAGUGGGGAAUUUUGGACAAUGGGCGAAAGCCUGAUCCAGCCAUGCCGCGUGCAGGAUGAAGGCCUUCGGGUUGUAAACUGCUUUUGUACGGAACGAAAAGACUCUUUCUAAUAAAGAGGGUCCAUGACGGUACCGUAAGAAUAAGCACCGGCUAACUACGUGCCAGCCGCCGCAGUAA
rnacentral:rRNA from 1 species